AUUAAAUCAAAUAAAUUUUACCAACCAACCGAGAUGAUCUUCACAUUCCACGGGUUCACAAUCUUUGCUCUGACUCCACACUAUCAUCUUUGAAUCGCAUGAAAACCCCCAUAAGUGCAUCACAAGACAACAUACACAAACAACAAAAUCCAUAACAGCUAGAAUGCGCUUUCAAAAGUCACAUAAAACAAAUUCAGAAAGCUACAAUCUCAAUGACCAAGAUAACAAUUUCUUAAUGCAAUUAAAACCUUAGAACUGAAAGUUUCCACUUACUCUUAUUGAAAAUCUCAACAAGACGAAAACCACCACAACCCAGUCCUAAUCCUCCGCCUUCAACACCGAGGGUUUAUCCUUAACCUCAUAAGCAAUCACCACCGAAUCCCUAUCCUUGCAUGCUAAACUCCUU
rnacentral:lncRNA from 1 species